GUGGGGAAUUUUGGACAAUGGGCGCAAGCCUGAUCCAGAAAUGCCGCGUGCAGGAAGAAGGCCUUCGGGUUGUAAACUGCUUUUGUACGGAACGAAACGGUCCUGGUUAAUACCUGGGGCUAAUGACGGUACCGUAAGAAUAAGCACCGGCUAACUACGUGCCAGCAGCCGCGGUAAUACGUAGGGUGCGAGCGUUAAUCGGAAUUACUGGGCGUAAAGCGGGCGCAGGCGGUGCUGGAAGACAGGCUGGAAAUCCCCGGGCUCAACCUGGGAAUUGCGCUUGUGACUGCAGUGCUGGAGUACGGCAGAGGGGGAUGGAAUUCCGCGUGUAGCAGUGAAAUGCGUAGAUAUGCGGAGGAACACCGAUGGCGAAGGCAGUCCCCUGGGCCUGUACUGACGCUCAUGCACGAAAGCGUGGGGAGCAAACAGGAUUAGAAACCCUUGUAGUCC
rnacentral:rRNA from 1 species